CCCUUAGAGUUUGAUCCUGGCUCAGGACGAACGCUGGCGGCGCGCUUAACACAUGCAAGUCGAGCGAGAACCCACCUUCGGGUGGGGGAAAGCGGCGAACGGGUGAGUAACACGUGGGCAACCCACCCUUGGUAUCCGGAUAGCCCGGGGAAACCCGGAUUAAUACGGAAUGGCCCAACAGCUUCUCGGAGCGGUUGGAAAAGGUAGCUUCGGCCUCCGACCAAGGACGGGCCCGCGGUGGAUUAGCUUGUUGGUGAGGUAACGGCUCACCAAGGCGACGAUCCAUAGCUGGUCUGAGAGGACGAUCAGCCACACUGGGACUGAGACACGGCCCAGACUCCUACGGGAGGCAGCAGUGGGGAAUCUUGCGCAAUGGGCGAAAGCCUGACGCAGCGACGCCGCGUGGGGGAAGAAGGCUUUCGGGUUGUAAACCCCUUUCAGGAGAGACGAAGCUACUCGGGUUAAUAGCCCAGAGGGUGACGGUAUCUCCAGAAGAAGCCCCGGCUAACUACGUGCCAGCAGCCGCGGUAAUACGUAGGGGGCAAGCGUUGUCCGGAUUUAUUGGGCGUAAAGAGCGUGUAGGCGGCUGGGUAGGUCCGUUGUGAAAACUCGAGGCUCAACCUCGAGACGCCGAUGGAAACCCCCCAGCUAGAGUCCGGAAGAGGAGAGUGGAAUUCCUGGUGUAGCGGUGAAAUGCGCAGAUA
rnacentral:rRNA from 1 species